rnacentral:SRP_RNA from 1 species
GGAAAGUCGGCGGUGGACGGGCACCUUGUUGACCAGGUCAGAUCCGGAAGGAAGCAGCCACAGUAAGUUUCGCCCGGGUCAUUGUCCGGCUUUCCACC